rnacentral:sRNA from 1 species
GAACACCAUGUGGCACAUCGAGAUCCAGGAGGGGCGACUCGAGGCCUUCCGGACAGCUGACCGUGAGGAGGUGGAGGCCACGGGGCGGCGGCUCCAGGUGCGCGCAGCCGAGCAGCUCUGCAGAGAGCAGGAGGCCCUGGGGAAGGUGGAGCGGAACCGGCUGCUGAGGAUCAGGAAGUCCCUGCACACCCAGAAGGAGCUCGGGCUCAGGCACCAGAAGCUGCUGGAGGACGCCCGGAAGAACCACAAGGUUGCCGUGCGGUUCCUGAAGGCCUCCCUGGGAAGAAUCCGAGAGCAAGAGAAGAAGGAGGAGAUGGAGUGCCACGAGUACAUGAGGCGACGCAUGGAUGCGGUGGUGGCGCUGAAGGGCAGCAUCUCCGCGAACCGGGACACACUGCGGAAGUUCCAAGCAUGGGACCGUGCCAAGGCAGAGCUGGCGGAGCAGAGGGUCCAGGCUGAGAAGAAGGCGAUUCUGGCCCAGGGCAGGGAUGCGUUCAGGCACCUUGUCCACCAGCGCCGGCACCAGGAGCUGGAGGCCCAGAAGAGGGCCUUUGAGGAGGAGCAGAAGCUCAGAAAGCAGGAGAUCGUCAGUCGGAUUCUGAAAGAGGAGGCUGAGGAGGAAAAGAGGAAGAAACAGCAUCCCCCCACCAGUGCCAGGCACCGGCCGACCCUGAGGGACAAGACCUGGAACUACAUUUCUGACUUUUGCAAGGAGAAGACCACAGUCCCAACCAACACGUCCACACUGGACUACGAGGCUGCUGCAGGCCCCGGGCCCUCUCGGUUGCUGCAAGUCGUUUCCAGUGAGCUUAUCCAGGGGGACCCCGGGGCCAGCUCAGAGGAGGAAACGUUAGCUGAGCCCGAGAUCUCUGGGCUUUGGAAUGAAGACUACAAGCCAUACCAGGUGCCCAAGGAGGACGUGGACCGAAAGCCCGUGGGCGGGACAAAGAUGGACAAGGACAUCCUGGAGCGCACGGUGGAGCGGCUGCGGAGCAGGGUGGUCCACAAGCAGGUGGUGUGGGGGCGUGAGUUCCAAGGACGCCCCUUCAACAGCAAACCGGAGCUCCUGCACUUCCAGGACUUUGAUAUUGGCAAAGUGUACAAGAAAAAGAUCACGUUGGUCAACACCACCUACACGAUCAACUACUGCAAGCUGGUGGGCGUGGAGGGGCACCUCCGGGACUUCAUCCACGUCGACUUUGACCCCCCUGGCCCCCUGUCAGCCGGAAUGUCCUGUGAAGUGCUUGUCACCUUCAAGCCGAUGAUAAACAAGGAUCUAGAAGGAAAUAUCUCAUUUUUGGCUCAGACGGGCGAGUUUUCAGUUCCACUGAAAUGUUCAACAAAGAAAUGUUCGCUGUCCCUCGACAAGGAGCUCAUUGACUUCGGCAGCUACGUGGUAGGAGAGACCACGUCUCGGACCAUCACGCUGACCAACGUUGGGGGCUUGGGCACGACUUUCAAGUUCCUGCCAGCUUCAGAGCCCUGUGAGAUGGACGACUCCCAGUCUGCCCUGAAAUUAAGCAGUCUCCUGACCUACGAAGAUAAAAGCUUGUAUGACAAAGCCGCCACCAGCUUCUCUGAGCAGCAGCUAGAGGGCACGGAGUCCUCCCAGGCGGACAUGCAGAGCCGGAAGGAGCUGGAGAAGCUGGACAAGGAGCAGGAGGAGGAGCAGCCCGCAGUGUUGUUUUUGGAGUGGACGAAAAUGUACAUUCACGUUGACGCUAACCGAAGACUUGAAGGCACCUCCAGCAUUGGCCCAGCAGGCCCAGCACGGGCGGGGCCGCACGGGGCAGGGAAGAGGCUCUGAGGUGCCCCCUGGAGGGGCCGGGCUGCGGGGGGCUUCUGUCUAGCUCUGCAGCUGUGGCUGUUGUUAGAUGCGCACCAGCGGGGAGAGGUGCCGAGAAACGGGCGGGCCCUGCCCUCCCCAUGCCUCCUGCCCUGCAGCCCGCCGCCAUCGGGAAUCGCUUGCGUCUCCUCCUUGCUUCUCUUGAUCGUUUUCCCACAUACGCAUCGAGAUCCAGAAACCUCCGUCCUCCUCCUGUCUGUCUUCGCGUG